rnacentral:piRNA from 1 species
UGUCUUUGGUUGCGCUCAAGAAGGCA